AUUGUGUUCAAUGCAUUAUGUGAGUAUGCAAUCAAAGAAGUUGGGUUGUUUUCCAGAAUUGGCUCUCUUCUAAAUGUCAGCAC
rnacentral:lncRNA from 1 species